AGAACUUAGCAGAGAUGCUUUGGUGCCUUCGGGGAACUCUGAGACAGGUGCUGCAUGGCUGUCGUCAGCUCGUGUUGUGAAAUGUUGGGUUAAGUCCCGCAACGAGCGCAACCCUUUAUCCUUUGUUGCCAGCGGUUAGGCCGGGAACUCAAAGGAGACUGCCAGUGAUAAACUGGAGGAAGGUGGGGAUGACGUCAAGUCAUCAUGGCCCUUACGAGUAGGGCUACACACGUGCUACAAUGGCGCAUACAAAGAGAAGCGACCUCGCGAGAGCAAGCGGACCUCAUAAAGUGCGUCGUAGUCCGGAUUGGAGUCUGCAACUCGACUCCAUGAAGUCGGAAUCGCUAGUAAUCGUGGAUCAGAAUGCCACGGUGAAUACGUUCCCGGGCCUUGUACACACCGCCCGUCACACCAUGGGAGUGGGUUGCAAAAGAAGUAGGUAGCUUAACCUUCGGGAGGGCGCUUACCACUUUGUGAUUCAUGACUGGGGUGAAGUCGUAACAAGGUAAGCGUAGUGCU
rnacentral:rRNA from 1 species